AAUUAUUGAAAAAUUUGUGGACUGUUAAAUUCAGUGUUUUUUUGUGGUUAUAUUUUGUCAGUCAAGUUCCUUUGUUUUGGAAUUUUUUUUGGAGUGUAAAAAUGACAGAACACUAAGAAGAUAAAUUAAACCGUCCACUUACCACAUUCCUCACGUGUCAUUGAGUAGAUGACAUUCUUAAUCAGGAUACGCUCAAAAUUAUCAAGAAUAAAUUUUAUCAGCUGGAUCCUGCCCGUUAGAUUUGCUCCGCAAAAAUUCCACGAGGUUAGAAUCUGGAGGCUUAGUCAAGGAAUGACGAGCUAAAGACACGGAUGAGAAAAGAAUCCGUGGUACCUGUUGGGGACUAGUGUGUUAAUACUUUUAUACACACGGAUGCUGGUAGCUGAGAGUGACAUGCCAGGUAUUGCUGGGUAACGAGAGUGUGUGAGUGUGUGAUGAAAGGUAUGGAGUCACAUGGAAUGGAGAAAAGUUCCAGGGAAGACAAAGACAAAGGCUGGGGACUCACGGGCCCACUGAUCUAAGCGACGCUGUUCUUUGUGCGGUAGGACAAUCGAGUUCAGAAGGAUCUUCUCCGCGGCUAGAUUAACACUAGUCCCGAGAAUUGAUAUCGAGGGGUUCAGUUUUCCAUUGCUGUUAAAGAGCGGGGGGUUCUCCAUCUUGGCGAACGG